rnacentral:rRNA from 1 species
CCUACGGGGGGCUGCAGUGGGGAAUAUUGGACAAUGGGGGCAACCCUGAUCCAGCCAUGCCGCGUGUGUGAAGAAGGCCCUCGGGUUGUAAAGCACUUUCAGUGAGGAAGAACGCCUGGUGGUUAAUACCCAUCAGGAAAGACAUCACUCACAGAAGAAGCACCGGCUAACUCCGUGCCAGCAGCCGCGGUAAUACGGAGGGUGCGAGCGUUAAUCGGAAUUACUGGGCGUAAAGCGCCGUAGGUGGCUUGAUAAGCCGGUUGUGAAAGCCCCGGGCUCAACCUGGGAACGGCAUCCGGAACUGUCAAGCUAGAGUGCAGGAGAGGAAGGUAGAAUUCCCGGUGUAGCGGUGAAAUGCGUAGAGAUCGGGAGGAAUACCAGUGGCGAAGGCGGCCUUCUGGACUGACACUGACACUGAGGUGCGAAAGCGUGGGUAGCAAACAGGAUUAGAUACCCCAGUAGUC